UACGUAGGGGCAAGCGUUGUCCGGAAUUAUUGGGCGUAAAGCGCGUGUAGGCGGUCCACUAAGUCGGCUGUGAAAGUCCAGGCUCAACCCUGGGAUGCCGGUCGAUACUGGUGGACUAGAGUCCGGAAGAGGCGAGUGGAAUUCCCGGUGUAGGCGGUGAAAUGCGCAGAUAUCAGGAGGAACACCAAUUGCGAAGGCAGCUCGCUGGGACGUUACUGACGCUGAGACGCGAAAGCGUGGGAGCAAACAGG
rnacentral:rRNA from 1 species